GGUCAAGCUGGUAGUUGUCGACGUCAUGCAGCAUAGCCAGAGUCCUCCGGUCCCGAAAGGGGGCAUUAUAACAGUGACAGGCCUGCCCGGAGACCUGGGCGACAUCCCGCCUGUGAAAGGCUGGGCAGAACACGCUGUUGUUCUCAAGGACAGCCCGCCGGUGCUUAUCGCCUUCCAGAUGGGUGCUCAGCACGCCGCCGAGGCUGAAUAAACUCAGCGUCUGCCCAGACUUGAAGCCAAAUUAUUUGACCAGAAUAUUUUUUAAUGAAAGGAGCUAUAAAGCUGAUUUUUACAUGGAAGCAGCUGUGCAAAUGUGGACAAAUCAUUUUCUCCAACUCCAUCAAGAUCAGUGGUUCAGACACGCAUUCAACUUUAACCCAAAUGGAAGUUUUAUCCCCUGAAAUUUCCUGGUACAGAGCUCCUAAAAACCCUUGGAAUUCCCUGAGUGAGAGGAGUGCCCAUUGUUAUUCACAAGCAAU